UGCUGGAAUGCCAUUUUAAUAAUAAAUAAUUAUUGAAAUGAUAGAUUGUGCAGAAUAAGUUGAGUGAGUAAAAUUGAAUAUGGCAACCAUCAGAAGAGAGUGGGUGAAAUAGCCAUGACCAGUAGAGGUGCCACUGUCAGAAAGAUACAAUUAUUUAAGCAGAUAGGGAAAUUAUAUAUGAUUAUUUAGUUGUACUCCAAAA
rnacentral:lncRNA from 1 species